rnacentral:rRNA from 1 species
GGGCCCGCACAAGCGGUGGAGCAUGUGGUUUAAUUCGAUGAUACGCGAGGAACCUUACCAGGACUUAAAUGUAAGUUGCAUGAUUCAGAAAUGAAUCUUUCUUCGGACUACUUACAAGGUGCUGCAUGGUUGUCGUCAGCUCGUGCCGUGAGGUGUCAGGUUAAGUCCUAUAACGAGCGCAACCCCUAUCGUUAGUUGCCAUCAAGUAAAGUUGGGAACUCUAGCGAAACUGCCGGUGCAAACCGUGAGGAAGGUGGGGAUGACGUCAAAUCAUCACGGCCCUUACGUUCUGGGCUACACACGUGCUACAAUGGCCGGUACAGAAAGCAGCCACUAUGCGAAUAGGAGCUAAUCUUUAAAACCGGUCUCAGUUCGGAUUGGAGUCUGCAACUCGACUCUAUGAAGCUGGAAUCGCUAGUAA